rnacentral:rRNA from 1 species
GUGCCAGCAGCCGCGGUAAUACGUAGGUGGCAAGCGUUGUCCGGAAUUAUUGGGCGUAAAGGGCGCGCAGGUGGUUUCUUAAGUCUGAUGUGAAAGCCCACGGCUUAACCGGGGAGGGGCAUUGGAAACUGGGUGACUUGAGUGCAGAAGAGGAAAGUAGAAUUCCAAGUGUAGCGGUGAAAUGCGUAGAGAUUUGGAGGAACACCAGUGGCGAAGGCGACUUUCUGGUCUGUAACUGACGCUGAGG